rnacentral:rRNA from 1 species
CCUACGGGAGGCAGCAGUGAGGAAUAUUGGUCAAUGGACGAGAGUCUGAACCAGCCAAGUAGCGUGAAGGAUGACUGCCCUAUGGGUUGUAAACUUCUUUUAUAUGGGAAUAAAACGUUCCACGUGUGGGAUUUUGUAUGUACCAUAUGAAUAAGGAUCGGCUAACUCCGUGCCAGCAGCCGCGGUAAUACGGAGGAUCCGAGCGUUAUCCGGAUUUAUUGGGUUUAAAGGGAGCGUAGGUGGAUUGUUAAGUCAGUUGUGAAAGUUUGCGGCUCAACCGUAAAAUUGCAGUUGAAACUGGCAGUCUUGAGUACAGUAGAGGUGGGCGGAAUUCGUGGUGUAGCGGUGAAAUGCUUAGAUAUCACGAAGAACUCCGAUUGCGAAGGCAGUUCACUGGACUGCAACUGACACUGAGACUCGAAAGUGUGGGUAUCAAACAGGAUUAGAUACCCCUGUAGUC